rnacentral:lncRNA from 1 species
AUUGUCUUGAAGUAAAUAAGAAAACCAAGUUACAGAUAAACACUAUUUUGAGUAAACUUUGAGAUAAAUUAGAUGGCAUAUGCUGCUAGUAAAGUCUCUAGCACAAUUGUCAUAAUAGCUUAAAUUUGUAUAAACUGAGAUUAAUUGAUUUUCUCUUCAUAAAUCUAUUUGUACAUUCAUUUACAAGUAAAUACUAAAAAACCUUUAGAACUUAGGCAUACGCUCUAGCACAAGGUCAGCUAGCACACUUGCCUCUAAAUUUUGUACACCUGAUAACGCUCUAGCACAGGGUCAGCUAGCACACUUUCUUGUGUACUAAAGUUAAAACGUAUAUAAUAAAGAAUUUGAUACAUUAAAAACCUUUUAGAACUUAGGCAUACGCUCUAGCACAGGGUCAGCUAGCACACUUGCCUCUAAAUUUUGUACACUUGAUAACGCUCUAGCACAGGGUCAGCUAGCACACUGUCUUGUGUAUUAAACUGUUGAAUAUUCUUAUUGUCUAUGUAACGUUACCAAUUUAAACUCAGAAGUUAGGUAUUCAGUUAAACCUUUAAGUGAUAUAUAUAUAUACCUCAGAUAUACCUUGUUAAUAUUAGACAUACGCUACUAGUAAAGUCUCUAGUACACUUGUCUCUUUGUUAUAUGUAAUAUUUGCUACUGGUCUCAUUGUUCUAUACCAGUGUCAGUGUAUCUGAAGAAAACCCUAGUCAAAUAAUAAACA